rnacentral:lncRNA from 1 species
GGACUGGAAGGGGUGCAACAUUAGAUGGGCUGGUCAGGGAAGGCUUCUCUGAUGAGCUGACAUUUGAGCAGGGACAUGCAUGGUAACAGUCUCUAGCCUUAUGAAGCUCAGUAAGAACCACGUCCCUGAGGUUGGAACAAAUGGACAAAAUGAAGAGGAGAAGAUGGCAGAUUGCUUAAUUUCUUGAAAUGUGAUGAUCAAGAACACAGCUUGGAAGUUCAACGGACCGUAAGUUUGAGCCAAGACUGAACCGCAAAGGACACAUUCCUACUUUCACAGGUGUGGGAUGCUUUUCAUGUUAAUUAUAUGUGAAUGAGAAAAGCCACAUGCAAACAAAGUCGCCUGCAGCUGGACUAAGUAGCUACAGUAUGAGGAGGAGCACGGGAGAUGUUUGUGCAGUAUAAAAAUGAUGAAAUCCCAAGACGAUGGUCUUAGGUUGUAAAUGAAUGAGAUCUUCUGAAUCUGGGAGAUGGAGAUCUUUUUGGUUCUUCUGCUAACAUAGUUAAGGUCAAUAUAAAGAAAAUGAAUGUUUUCUAGAAUCCACAUUGGCUCACGUUUUUGGCCUAGUUGAUUUUGCAGCAAAGGAGAAAACUUCAAAAAGUUGUGCUCUCUCUGGGCCCUGCAGUGAAGUUUUGGCCUGGUGCCUAGAAACACCUCCAUGUUACUCAGAACAAGGCGAGGUGCAAACCAAACCAAUGGCACGGAAGGUCCCUUGCUGCUUCUAGAAUCUGUCCAGCUAUCGCAUCAAAAUCAUGUUCAGCAUCUGUGAAAUUGACCCUCAACUGUGAAAUCAUAUUUUAAUGAUAAAGUGCCAAAAGUGUUCUGCAAGUAUAAGGUGUGUGUCCGUGAUCCCACUCUUCUCUGCACCUCUGCCUGCUCUCCCAAAUGAAGACUGCCCAUCCGGCUCAUCACCUUGGUCCUACCUAGCUUUCCAGGCCAAGUUCAAAUUCUUCCUUUGCAAUGGAACUGAGGACCACCUCAUUGGUCCCAUAUAUCUCUUCUCUUCUUGA